CAACACUCUUCAUUCCUCCUUAUUAUUCCUUGAUUUCAUUCAUUUCCCUAAUGUCAUCCUUCAAUUCCUCUUUCCAGAUUUAUUUUCUCUAUCUUCCAGUUCCUCUUCUCUCUUCCAGUUCCUCUUUUCUCUUCAAAUUCUUCUUCUCUCUCUUCCAGUUCCUCUUCUCUCUUCAACUUCGUUUUCUCUCUCUCUCUUCAUCCUUUUCUAUCAUUUGUUUUCGUAAUUUUCAAUUUGUUAGGGUGCAUUAUUUUUUCCCCAAAUCAAUUUAGGGUUUCCACUUUCAAUUGUCUCCAAAAUUUAAACCCACAAGAUCGUAUCUCAAGUUUGUAAACCCAAAAUUUGGUUUUUUUGGUUUGAAUCUCAAAGAUUUGGGGUUUUCACAAGCUUUCAUUUGAAGAUUUGGGGUUUUCACACAAGAUCUGUUCGAUUUUUUGUAUUUUCUGGGUUCGAAAAUUUAUGGGUAAUUUGCAAAGAUCUGGAAUUUGGGAAUUUGGGUUCGAAAAUUUGUGGGUCUGAAGGAGUGCGCGUGGCGAGGGAGCUGGAAUGCGGCCCGAGGGAGACUCACUGCCUUCAAUCAGAGCUGAAGGGGCGUGGCUGGGCGGUGGUGGAAAAAAAGGGUUUUAGUUUUUAGAUUUUAUUUUUUGAUGAACAAUAAAUUUAGUUAAUUUAAGUUUUUUUUGUAUAAAUUUUAGUUUUGAGAUUUUAUUUUUUCUUUUGAUUUUUUGUACCAAAAUUCAUCAAAAUUAUUAAUAAAAGUAUAUUAUUAAUUUAA